UAAGUUGUUGAUGCAUCGUUUUAUGUGUAGGGACCCAAAUCAUGCUACUGAAGAGGUUUGGUGCUAUUUUGAGCUAUAUUAAUAGUUUUGGAAGAUUUUCGCUGUGCCCCUAACAAAUAACAUGGAGGCAAACAUUGCGCCGAGCAAACUCUAUGCUCGAUUUUCAAUGAAAAAGGUAUCUGGGGGGCUUAUUUGAUGGAUGCAAAAAAGAAGACCCUGGGAUACAUUUUUGCCGGAAUUACACUUUAAGCAUCUAUGGCUGCGGCUGCAAAAUGUUUCCAAAACAUGGCACCCCUUAUGCUUUUUUGUCUCCAAGGCACCCAAUAAACCAAAACAAGUUUGAAUCCCUGUAGGGAUAGGUGCUGUUUAUGAGGAUUAUGAGGACGAGGAUGUGAUGUGAAGGGUGACACCGAUUUGAAAGUUCAGCCAGUUACCCAAUGGGUGGAGUUUGUCCCACCCACUCAUUUGCAUUUUAAUAUUGUCUACAUUGAAGCAGUUCAAAUGCAAAGAGAUAGCAUUUUAAUUGUAUAUCUGACUCAAAUAAUGCGUCUAUAUUAUGAACAAUAAAAAGCAUCAGUGAUAUUGCA